GAUGAACGCUGGCGGCGUGCCUAAUACAUGCAAGUCGAGCGAACAGACGAGGAGCUUGCUCCUCUGACGUUAGCGGCGGACGGGUGAGUAACACGUGGAUAACCUACCUAUAAGACUGGGAUAACUUCGGGAAACCGGAGCUAAUACCGGAUAAUAUAUUGAACCGCAUGGUUCAAUAGUGAAAGACGGUUUUGCUGUCACUUAUAGAUGGAUCCGCGCCGCAUUAGCUAGUUGGUAAGGUAACGGCUUACCAAGGCAACGAUGCGUAGCCGACCUGAGAGGGUGAUCGGCAACACUGGAACUGAGACACGGUCCAGACUCCUACGGGAGGCAGCAGUAGGGAAUCUUCCGCAAUGGGCGAAAGCCUGACGGAGCAACGCCGCGUGAGUGAUGAAGGUCUUCGGAUCGUAAAACUCUGUUAUUAGGGAAGAACAAAUGUGUAAGUAACUAUGCACGUCUUGACGGUACCCAAUCAGAAAGCCACGGCUAACUACGUG
rnacentral:rRNA from 1 species